CUGGACACUGUAGACAGAGGACAGGUGAAACUGGACAUUGUAGAUAGAGGACAGGUGAGACUGGACACUGUAGACAGAGGACAGGUGAAACAGGACAUUGUAGAUAGAGGACAGGUGAGACAGGACAUUGUAGAUAGAGGACAGGUGAGACAGGACACUAUAGACAGAGGACAGGUGAAACAGGACACUGUAGACAGAGGACUAGGGAGGAAGGACAUGUACCCCAGUAACUGCAAGGGAACAUCAAGACAAUGCCAUAACUGAUGAAAGCCAUGCUUGACAGUUCGCGCUGAUAACAACAUGGAUGCUACAGCAGCUGUUGGCUAAACACAUGUGGACUAACAGUGAUAAAACUGACACUAUCAGUAUGGUAGGAAGGCAGGGAUCACUGGGUCUA
rnacentral:lncRNA from 1 species